rnacentral:rRNA from 1 species
UACGUAGGGGGCUAGCGUUGUUCGGAAUCACUGGGCGUAAAGGGCGCGUAGGCGGCCCGCACAAGUCUGCGGUGAAAACCCCCCGGCUUAACCGGGGGCCGGCCGUGGAAACUGUCGGGCUGGAGGCUGGGAGAGGGCAGCGGAAUUCCCGGUGUAGCGGUGAAAUGCGGUAGAAGAUCGGGAGGAACACCGGCGGGCGAAAGGCGGCUGCCUGGACCAGUCCUGACGCUGAGGCGCGAAAAGCUAGGGGAGCAAACAGG